AAGGCCUUAAUAGGGUGAAACCCGCGAAUGGCUCAUUAAUCAGCUAUGUUCCUUGGUUCAUACUUGUACUACAUGGAUAACUGUAGUAAUUCUAGAGCUAAUACGUGCCUCGAUGCCCUGAAUCGUUAGAUGAGGGGCGCAUUUAUUAGAUUACAAACCAAACGCGUACUUGUGCGCGUGGUUUGUGAUGACUCUGGAUAACUUUGUAUGAUCGCAGCUGGCCUUGUUGUCGGCGACGGAACCAUCAAAUGUCUGCCCUAUCAACUGUCGAUGGUAGGUGAUAUGCCUACCAUGGUUAUGACGGGUAACGGGGAAUCAGGGUUCGAUUCCGGAGAGGGAGCCUGAGAAACGGCUACCACAUCCAAGGAAGGCAGCAGGCGCGCAAAUUACCCACUCUCAGAAUGAGGAGGUAGUAAAGACAAAUAUCGAUACAGAACUCCAAAAGAGCUCUGUAAUCGAAAUGAGUGCAUUAUAAAUCCUACAACAAGGAUCUAUUGGAGGGCAAGUCUGGUGCCAGCAGCCGCGGUAACUCCAGCUCCAAUAGCGUAUAUUAAAGUUGCUGCAGUUAAAAAGCUCGUAGUUCGAUCUGGACUGUGGUGUGAAUGCCUGUUGUGGAGCCUGCUUUCAUGGGGCGUGGUUGUGUACGAAUGUGCACGCUUCGUGUAACUCAUGUUAGUGUGUUUACGCGGGUAAAUUUGCGCCUAGUCUCCUAGCUGUGUCCGUGUGGUUGCGCUGUGUGAGGUUCAUUCUGAUCAUGGUGUGGCCAUAUGGGUGGUGUCGAGUUUAAAUCGUGCUGGCUCCUUAUCAUGGGGGGUCAGUGCGGCUCGGCGCUAUGCUUUGUGUCAACGUGGCUGCAUGCCGCAAGGUAUGGGUUGCGUACAUGCUCUUCAUUGAGUGUGCGAAGCGGACAGCACGUUUACUUUGAACAAAUUUGAGUGCUCAAAGCAGGCUGAUUUUUGCCUGAAAAGUCUUGCAUGGAAUAAUGGAAUAGGACUUCGGCCCUAUUUUGUUGGUUUGAUAGACCCGAAGUAAUGAUAAAGAGAGACAGACGGGGGCAUUUGUAUGGCGGCGCUAGAGGUGAAAUUCUUGGACCGUCGCCAGACAAACUAAAGCGAAAGCAUCUGCCAAGUAUGUUUUCAUUUACCAGGAGCGAAAGUCAGAGGUUCGAAGACGAUCAGAUACCGUCCUAGUUCUGACCAUAAACGAUGCCAACUGAUGAUCCGUGGAGUCUCCACUAUGUGAACCCACGGGCAAUCUCCGGGAAACCUGUAAGUCUAUGGGUUCCGGGGAAAGUAUGGUUGCAAAGCUGAAACUUAAAGGAAUUGACGGAAGGGCACCACCAGGAGUGGAGCUUGCGGCUUAAUUUGACUCAACACGGGAAAACUCACCCGGCCCGGACACUGUGAGGAUUGACAGAUUGAUAGCUCUUUCAUGAUUCGGUGGUUAGUGGUGCAUGGCCGUUCUUAGUUCGUGGUAUAAGUUGUCUGGUUAAUUCCGUUAACGAACGAGACUUCACUCUGCUAAAUAGUACACACGUAACUUUGUGUUGUUGCUGCUCAGCUGUGCCUCGUGUAUGGUUGUGUUGGCGCUGCAUAAGCGUGUGAGACUUCUUAGAGGGACAGGUGGGCAUGUAAACCACACGAAAAGAAGCAAUAACAGGUCUGUGAUGCCCUUAGAUGUCCGGGGCCGCACGCGUGCUACAAUGACGGUGUUAGAGAGUUUGAUUUCCUCAUUUGAAAGGAUGGGGCAAACUUUUCAAUCACUGCCAUGACUGGGAUCGGGGUUUGUAACUAUCCCCCGUGAACGAGGAAUUCCUAGUAAGUACAAGUCAUAAGCUUGUGCUGAUUACGUCCCUGCCCUUUGUACACACCGCCCGUCGCUACUACCGAUUGAAUGGUUUAGCAAGGUCAUUGGAUUGACGCUCACGCGGUGACGAACUGCCGAGUGUUGAGAAGACGACCAAACUUGAUCAUUUAGAGGAAGUACAAGUCGUAACAAGGUUUCCGUAGGUGAACCUGCAGAUGGAUCAA
rnacentral:rRNA from 1 species